CGGUCGGGGACAGACCGGGCGCCAGCGGCUUGCAGGCCUUCGUGAGCUCCGCUCCGGCUGCCGCUGGUGUGGCCGAGGAGGAUGCGGCCCCAGCGUUACCCCAGCGCCAACGGCGGAGGUGCCAGCCAUCGGCCGUCCGCGCCGUGCUACCGCAUUUAACGGAGCAGCAGCAGCAGACCAACACGCUCCUGGCACAGCUAUGUGACGUUGGUGUACGGCAGGCCACGGCGUUGGAGCUCCUAGCCGACAACACCAGGCGGCAGGGCGAGGCACUGCAGCAGCUCGUCGACGAGGCGAGGCGUCAUCGGG
rnacentral:lncRNA from 1 species